CUCUGUCGAGAGAUUCAUUCUCUCAUCUUCUUUCACUCUCAUCUCUCUAUACGCUUGAAAUCUCACCAACUCUCUCAUAUCUCACUUUUCAGAUCUGGUCAACUGAGAAAGGAUGGAGAUGAUAAUGUAGACGACGAAGACACAGACUCGCUGGGACGAAGCGCCGAGGCUCACCGGAAAAGGAGACGCGCCGGAGUAGAUGAGGCAGAGAAGAUGAUGUUUGGUGGUGGUGCAUAGGUCCGAGGAAGAGAUAGAAGAAGAAGAGGGGAAGACGACGAGUUUGGUCGCUUCGGCGGUAGAUCUGGAAGAAGAUGGAUGAGACGGGGCUUCAGAGAGACGACCACGAUGGUGGCGUGGAGAAGGUCCGAGCUCCGGUGUACUGGAAGAUGACGACCAGCUCGGAGCUCUCGUGAUGGACUCUCGGUGGAGGGAGGCGGCGGCAGUAACAUUAGUUAGGUUUAGGGUUAGAUUAGAUUUUUUUAAUUACAUUUUAUUGUUAACUAGAUUUGGUUUAGUUUUGUAAACCUGUUUAAUUGUAAACCGGUUAAUUGUAAACUGAUUAAAUUUAUAAAACAGAUUUCUAUUUGGUUAA